GUCUGCACGGGUGAAUUGAUGUGCAGUCUGGCCUGCCCCCUGAAAUUUUUAAAGGGCCGCGGUAUUUGGACCGUGCUAAGGUAGCAUAAUAAAUAGUCUUUUAAUUGAAGUCUAGUAUGAAUGGUCGGACAUGAAGUAAGCUGUUUUAAUUUUGAUGUUUGAAUUUUACUUUUAAGUGAAAAGGCUUAAAUUAAAUGGUGGGACGAUAAGACCCUAUAAAGCUUUACAUUUUACUUUUCAGUUGCGAGAUUUAAGGUUUCUUAUUCUUAUGAAGUAAGGUGUUUCGUUGGGGCGACGGGAAUAUAAAAUAAGUAACUGUUUUUGUUUGAAAAAUACGUUUUUGUAGUUAAGUUGAUCCUUCUUUGAAGAUUACAAGAUUUAAGUUACUUUAGGGAUAACAGCGUAAUUUAUCUUGAGAGUUCAUAUCGACAGAUAUAGUUGCGACCUCGAUGUUGAAUUAAAAUGUCCUCCAGGUGUAGCAGUUUUGGUGGUGGGUCUGUUCGACCUUUAAAAUUUUACAUGAUUUGAGUUCAGACCGGCGUAAG
rnacentral:rRNA from 1 species